AUUGAACGCUGGCGGCAUGCUUUACACAUGCAAGUCGAACGGUAACAGGGAGCUUGCUCCGCUGACGAGUGGCGAACGGGUGAGUAAUGCAUCGGAACGUACCCAGUCGUGGGGGAUAACGUAGCGAAAGUUACGCUAAUACCGCAUACGUCCUGAGGGAGAAAGCGGGGGACCGUAAGGCCUCGCGCGAUUGGAGCGGCCGAUGUCGGAUUAGCUAGUUGGUAGGGUAAAGGCCUACCAAGGCGACGAUCCGUAGCGGGUCUGAGAGGAUGAUCCGCCACACUGGGACUGAGACACGGCCCAGACUCCUACGGGAGGCAGCAGUGGGGAAUUUUGGACAAUGGGCGAAAGCCUGAUCCAGCCAUGCCGCGUGAGUGAAGAAGGCCUUCGGUUGUAAAGACUCUUUCAGACGGAAAGAAAUACGCAUCUUCUAAUACAGGGUGUGGAUGACGGUACC
rnacentral:rRNA from 1 species